CGCUUUCACUAUUCAAGCACAUCCGGUUAUCAAGAACAGGGCAGGAGAGAAGAUGGAGGGGAGAGAGAGAGAGAGGAGGGCUGCCAAGAAGCAGUGACAGAAGGGACCUCACUGUGCUGGCCGGUGAGCCGCCGGAGAGCGAGGAAGCGAACUGACCUGGCCGGCGGCGGCGCGGCCUAUUCAGGUUUCGAUGUGCGACAGUUGCGAAAGGACGAAAUCCUGGCCGUCUAAACGGGAUGAACGGCUCAGAUAUUUCAGAUAACAAGGGGAAGGCACAGCGCCGUUUGAGCAGUAGACCAGUAGUGCGGCGGCCGUUUGAACGGCCCUCCUAUGCAUGCUCUCUCCCGCCGCCGUAGCCGCCGUCCGCGCCGCGGCAGGCUCGCCGCCGGCGGUCCGCCGAGCGCACGCGCGGCUUCUCAAGGAGGGCCUCGUCCACAGCCCUCCUGCCCCGGUGCUCCUCGUCUCCGCCUACGCCAGGUCAGGCCUCCUCCCCGACGCCCACCGCCUGUUCGGCGAUGCUCCCCGCCGAGACCUCCACCUCUACUCCGCCCUCCUUGCCGCCGUCUCCCACUCCGCCACCCCCGCGCUCGCGCUCCCGUUCUUCCGUCGCAUGCUCUCCGCCGACGCUCUCCGCCCCGACCACUUCGUCCUCGCCUCCCUCGUCAGCGUCGCCGCCAGGCUGCGCAGCCUCCACAUCGGCAGGCAGCUCCACGCCCACUUUGUCGCCUCCCCGUACAGCGGCGACGACGUCGUCAAGUCGUCGCUGAUCGAUAUGUACUGUAAGUGCGGCGUCCCGGAGGAUGCCCGGAAAGUGUUCGACAGUAUCGCUGUGAAGAACAGCGUCGUGUGGACUGCUCUGAUUUCGGGGUACGCGUCAAACGGACGCAGCGAUGAGGCACUGGAGCUCUUCCGGAGCAUGCCUGGACGUGGCCUGUUCGCAUGGACUGCACUCAUCUGUGGGUUUGUUAAGGCUGGACACAAUGCUAGAGCAGUGGAGUUGUUUGUCGAGAUGAGGCGGGAUGAUGUCAGGAUCGAUGACGCGUUCGUGUUGUCGACUGUCAUUGGCGGGGCGGCAGACCUGGCUGCUCUUGCGUUGGGUAGACAGCUGCAUGGUUUUGCAAUGAGGCUCGGGUUCUUGUCCAGUAUGAUCAUGGGGAAUGCGCUGGUUGACAUGUACUCCAAAUGCAGUGACAUACACUCUGCUAGGGAAGUAUUUGAGGGGAUUGCAAUCCGUGACAUCAUCUCAUGGACGACGAUUGUUGUUGGAGAGGCACAACAUGGUCGAGCUCAGGAGGUAUUGGCUCUUUAUGACAGAAUGGUUCUUGCAGGAGUAAAGCCCAAUGAGGUGACAUUUGUUGGGUUGAUCUAUGCUUGUAGUCAUGCUGGUCUUGUUCAGAAAGGGCGGCAACUGUUUGACUCAAUGAAGCGGGAAUAUGGCAUCAAUCCUGGUCUGCAACACUAUACUUGCUAUCUGGACCUUCUUAGUCGCUCGGGCUAUUUGUCAGAAGCUGAAGAACUCAUCACUACAAUGCCAUACGAACCAGAUGAAGCUACUUGGGGGGCCCUAUUGAGCGCCUGUAAGAAACACAAAGAUGCUGAAAUGUGUCUCAGGGUUGCUGAUAAUUUGCUUGAGCUGAGACCAAAAGAUCCUUCGACAUAUAUCUUGUUAUCCAACGUCUAUGCAUUGAAUGGCAAGUGGGAUUCUGUGUCCAAGGUAAGAAUGCUCAUGUCUGAGAUGGAGAUAAGAAAAGAGCCAGGGUAUAGCAGGAUUGAAGCUGGAAAGGAAUCCCGUCUGUUUCAUGCUGGGGAAGUACCACCUGAUUUUAGAGAAGAAAUUGUUAGCUUUGUUGAGGAAUUGGUCUCAGAGAUGCGCAAGAGGGGUUAUGUCCCUGAUACUAGUUCUGUGAUGCAUGACUUGGAGGAGCAUGAAAAGGAGCAGCAUCUGUUCUUGCACAGCGAGAGGCUGGCUGUAGCUUUUGGAAUACUAAAGUCUCCUCCAGGUUCGGUGAUCCGGGUGGUGAAGAAUCUUCGGGUAUGUGGGGACUGCCAUACAGUAAUGAAGCUAAUUAGUGAAAUUACGCAGAGGAAGAUCAUUUUGAGAGAUGCUAGUCGUUUUCACCAUUUUGAGGGUGGGAAGUGCUCUUGUAGUGAAUUCUGGUAGCUGGUCUGCUGAUGUUCAGUUGUGCUUCUAGUCCUCUUGGUAAGGACUUCCACAGCCAGUGAACCAUGAUGCACAGGCAGGCAGGCACACUUGCAUGGGCAAAAUUUGAUCGCAGAAGAAAUCUGAUGCAAGUCAUGGAGGUUGAUUUUAAGAAACCGGUUGUGAUUGCAUAAGUUAACCCGGAAUUGUAUUUUCAUUGGUCUUCACAUGAUAUUUAUCCAAUACGGUACAACAUGUUGAUCCCAUUUUUUUUUCCUAAAUGGUAAUAAAUUGAUGAUUUGACAUUAAAAAGAUUGAUCAUUUGAUUA